rnacentral:rRNA from 1 species
AUUGAACGCUGGCGGCAUGCUUUACACAUGCAAGUCGAACGGUAACAGGUUAAGCUGACGAGUGGCGAACGGGUGAGUAAUGCAUCGGAACGUGCCCGAUCGUGGGGGAUAACGCAGCGAAAGCUGCGCUAAUACCGCAUGCGAUCUGAGGAUGAAAGCGGGGGACCGUAAGGCCUCGCGCGAUCGGAGCGGCCGAUGUCAGAUUAGGUAGUUGGGGGGGUAAAGGCUCACCAAGCCAACGAUCUGUAGCUGGUCUGAGAGGACGACCAGCCACACUGGGACUGGGACACGGCCCAGACUCCUACGGGAGGCAGCAGUGGGGAAUUUUGGACAAUGGGCGAAAGCCUGAUCCAGCAAUGCCGCGUGCAGGAAGAAGGCCUUCGGGUUGUAAACUGCUUUUGUACGGAGCGAAAAGGCUCUCUCUAAUACAGGGGGCUCAUGACGGUACCGUAAGAAUAAGCACCGGCUAACUACGUGCCAGCCGCCGCAGUAA